CAAGAAUAGAGACAGUUGCAGCCAUGAUGUUGCCUCUUCCACCUUCCCCAACCCAGUCUCUGCGAACCUAGAAUCUGAGUCCACGAGUGUGCCAGCACAGCAGCCCUUACUCAAGUCUUUGGCCCAUCUUCCAAACCAGAUUCCUCCCUUAAGCCCUAUUAUAUAGAGAUUCUGGAGACAUCACUGAACAGAGAGAUGGAAGAAAAGGAGGAAAGAAAAUCGAUGCUUUAGCAACCCCCCUAUCAAUACAUAAGAAAGUCUGGUGCCUGGAAACCUCCCACAUGAGGGUUUUGAGCUUUCUGCCGGUCAGGUGGUGGAAGGAGCACUGCACCAGGAAUCCUAGAACUGGCUUCUAGCUCUGGUUCUUCUAUGGCUCAACCAGGGGGACUCUGCAAAUUGCACCUGCGUCGCAGUGGCCAUCAGGGGUCCCUACAGAAUCACUUCUCCACAGUGGUGGGGUCGCAGAGCCACAGGGUUUCUGACCUUCACUGUCAAUAAGGGUUCUCUAGGGAAGAUGUUAUAAACUGACCAGGACCGCAAAGACACCGACUACAGGAUUAAUUCUCCGAAGUCCAAUUUACAAAGUUUCGGUAAGUCAGCCGGCCCAUGGAAGGGAGGGCAGCCCAGGGCGGGCAAGGGAAACAGAGGGAGGGGCCUGGGGAACUCUGUCCAGAAAGAGGGGAGGACCACAAACUUGUGGAAAGACACCAGACCACCCCUCCCCUGGGGUUCCGGCCGCGCCGCAGUGUCCCAGCCCCUUCCCUCAUCUUCUCCAGACCUCAGUGCCAGUCACCUGCAGGGGACCCCUGGUCUCCGGGCGUGUCCCCUGCAGAGAGGGGACAGGCUCCCUCCAGGGCGCCCCGCUCCGACGGGGCAGAGGGACGGCGGGGGAAGCGGGUGGGCGAGGCCAAGCGCGACCCCCGCUCGGCGGC